rnacentral:sRNA from 1 species
AUCACUUUCUUGUCCUAAAAUCUCAAGGGAAGCCAAACUCACUGGCAUUUGCCUCUUCUUUAACUCCUGCCUUCCUUCAAAGCCUGGCUUCUGUUUAUCCCAUGAAACCUCCUGACAACACCAACUCAGAAGAAAAUGCUUCUUCCUCUUUUGAAGUUUCUUUUUUUUUUUUCUUUUUUUUUUCUUGAGAUGGAGUCUCACUCUGUUGCCCAGGCUGGAGUGCAGUGGUGCGAUCUUGGCUUACUGCAACCUCCACCUCCCAGGUUUAAGAAUGUUACAUUUGAUAUCAUAGCUACUGAAGAUGUAGGCAUUUUCGAUGUAAGAUCAAAAUUCCUUGGUGUUGAGAUGGAAAAGGUGCAACUCAAUAUUCAGGAUUUACUUCAGAUGCAAUAUGAAGGAGUAGCUGUAAUGAAAAUGUUUGAUAAGGUUAAAGUGAAUGUAAACCUUCUCAUAUACCUGCUGAACAAGAAAUUCUAUGGAAAGUGAAGUGCCUGCAGAAAUUUCACGGAUUCUGUAUCAUCUGGAUUAGGAAAUGAAUUUGUUUAAUAUUUUUGUUUUUAAACAUGAUUGAAAUCACUGCUUAUAAAUGUGUGAUUUUUUUUUAAAUGACCAAAACUGUUCUGAAGAAUGUACCCAGGUGCCUUUUUGCUAAUUUGAUACUAUAAUAGAAUGAGACAUAAAAUGAAUUAAUGGAAACAUAUCCACACUGUACUGUGGUAUAGGUACUCUGAUUUAAAACUUUGGACAUCCUGUGAUCUGUUUUAAAGUUGAGGGGUGGGGAAUUUAGCUGACUAGGGA